rnacentral:lncRNA from 1 species
CCCUGGAAAAUUGGCUGCCAUGACAGUAUUUUCUGUCUUUUGGUGGGCUUAUUAGAAGCCGAUAGCAUAAGCUAAGUUGAUGUACACCUUCCUGACUUUUCCUACUAAAAGGAGGUUCACAUCCCAUUAUUAUUGUUUUGCCACUUUGCAGAGUUCAUUCUGCUUCUAUAAGCUGCUGAAGAGCAUAACAAUUUAUGCAAAACAACAACAAAGAGUUUGAGUGCAAAUUUGUUUCCUCCACAGAAUUUUAUGCAGACAACAGAAUCCACCUCUCCAUGCCAUUAUAAUCUGAGUAUCCUUGGACUAGCUUUUUUAUGACAACACAGACCACAAACUGGAAAGGAAGAGAGUGGAAGAGACAUAAUUGCGCACUAUCAUUACUGAGCACUAAAUGAACCCCAUGGAGCAUAAUGCAGAGAAGCAUACUUCCUCAUGGUGCCUUUAGUUCCCCAGGGGGGUCUGUUAAGUACUUUGUAGUUCUCUGUGCCAGCCUGAAAAGAAGCCACCACUGGGAGUAGAGCUUAAUGUCCUAAUUCCCAAAUCAUUUAGAGCAAGAAAUAUGUUCACUCUUGACUCAUGGGGAAGCAGAAAUGUACAUAUCAGAAUUCAGGAUGGGAUGCCAGAUAAACAGAUAACAACUAAA